rnacentral:rRNA from 1 species
AUUGAACGCUGGCGGCAGGCCUAACAACUGCACGUCGAACGAGUGGCGGACGGGUAAGUAAUGUCUGGGAAACUGCCCGAUGGAGGGGGCUCACUACUGGAAACGGUCGCUAAUACCGCAUACCAUCGGAUGUGCCCAUAGUGGAUGAGCUAGUAGGUGGGGGAACGGCUAACCUAGGCGACGACCCCUAGCUGGUAUGAGAGGAUGACCCGUCACACUGGAACUGAGACACGGUCCAGACUCCUACGGGAGGCAGCAGUGGGGAAUAUUGCACAAUGGGCGCAAGCCUGAUGCAGCCAUGCCGCGUGUAUGAAGAAGGCCUUCGGGUUGUAAAGUACUUUCAGCGAGGAGGCGUUACUCGCAGAAGAAGCACCGGCUAACUCCGUGCCAGCAGCCGCGGUAAUUC